CAAUAGCGUAUAUUAAAGUUGUUGCAGUUAAAAAGCUCGUAGUUGGAUUUGUGGCGUAUGGUGUGUUCCGGGCACUUGUUGUCUGAGUAACUUGCCAUUGCCAUCCUUGGGUGGAACCUGUGUGGCAUUAGGUUGUCGUGCAGGGGAUGCCCAUCGUUUACUGUGAAAAAAUUAGAGUGUUCAAAGCAGGCUUAUGCCGUUGAAUAUAUUAGCAUGGAAUAAUAAGAUAGGACCUCGGUUCUAUUUUGUUGGUUUCUAGAGCUGAGGUAAUGAUUAAUAGGGAUAGUUGGGGGCAUUCGUAUUUAACUGUCAGAGGUGAAAUUCUUGGAUUUAUGAAAGACGAACAUCUGCGAAAGCAUUUGCCAAGGAUGUUUUCAUUGA
rnacentral:rRNA from 1 species